UACGAGUGCCUCAAGCGUUAUCCGGAAUCAUUGGGCGUAAAGGGUGCGUAGGAGGUCUUAUUAGUCUUUUGUUAAAUCUUCGGGCUUAACCCGAAAUCUGCAGAAGAAACGGUAAGACUAGAGGACGACAGAGGUUUGCGGAACUCAUGGUGUAGGGGUGAAAUCCGUUGAUAUCAUGGGGAACACCGAAAGCGAAGGCAGCAAACUGGGUCGCUCCUGACUCUGAAGCACGAAAGCGUGGGUCGCGAAUGGG
rnacentral:rRNA from 1 species